rnacentral:rRNA from 1 species
CGUGUAGGCGGUUGGUCAAGUCGGGUGUGAAAGCCUGGGGCUCAGCCCCAGAAGUGCAUCCGAAACUAGCCAGCUAGAGCGCGAUAGAGGAGGGUGGAAUUCCGGGUGUAGCGGUGAAAUGCGUAGAUAUCAGGAGGAACACCGGCGGCGAAGGCGGCCCUCUGGAUCGUUGCUGACGCUGAGACGCGAAAGCGUGGGGAGCAAACAGGAUUAGAUACCCUGGUAGUCCACGCCUUAAACGAUGGGUACUAGGUGUUCGGGGUGUUGACCCCCUGAGUGCCGCAGUUAACGCAUUAAGUACCCCGCCUGGGGACUACGGCCGCAAGGUUAAA